CGUGUGUGUGUGUGUGUGUGUGUGUGUGUGUGUGUGUGUGUGUUGAAAGCUUCGAAGGCACCUUAGCCGAUCAGUAUUUAGAACCGAAAUUACAAGCAGUCAACGUCCACUUUAUUAGGAACACCUAUAGGCCUAGACCUGCUCAUUCAUACAUAUACAAUACAAUCAGCCAAUCAUGUGGCAGCAAUUUAAUGCAGGAAAUCACGCAGAUACAGGUCAAACAUCAGAAUGGAGAGAAAUGUGAAAUCUCUGACUGUGGCAGUCGGAUUGGUUAAAGUAUUUCAGAAACUACUGAUCUCGUGGGAUUUUCACACACACACACACACACACACACACACACACACACACACACUUCUAGAGUUAAUGGUCCUGUGGGCGGAAAUGCCUUGUUAAUGAAAGAGGUCAAAGGAGAAUUGGCGGAAAAGACCAGGUGACAUUUUUCCAACCUGCUUUCUUCCAGCUGCCCAGUUCUGCCUUUAUGAGACAGCAGAGAUGUUGGAGGUUGGAGAACACUGGAGAACCCGGACGAAACCCACACAGACACAUGGAGAACAUUUAUUACACAAUUAUUGGACUGUACGAUAUGGGACUGUGCAAUAAUUAUGGAGUUGUGCAUAAACUGUGGAGUUGUGUAACAGUAACGAGGCUGUGCAAUCACCUCAGGUGAAACACUGUCGUUUUAACUCAGAUGAUGACACUACAUGUGAUGUAUGUAUGUAAAUUUGUGAUUGAAUAUAUUGUGUGCAAUUGUGUAUGUUGUCGCUCAAAGCGUUGAGCCCAAGAAAAGUUUUUCCAGAGUGUAUAUCUUCUCUUAUAUUAUGUACAAAAACUCCACUCAGCCCACAUGGACCACUCCAUUACCCCACCAUGAUGUAUCGCCUGAAGAAAUAAGACCAGGAAAUAUCCACAACACAGCCCAUUCUGUUACUGUGUUCUACCUGGGAUCAACCUUAACAAUCCAAUCCUGGUGAUUAAAGGCACAGUCAAAGAUUUCCAAGUCAAAACACUUUUUAAUACUUGGUGUCGUUUAUUUCCUCACAAUCCUAGCA
ensembl:lncRNA